rnacentral:rRNA from 1 species
UUGACCUCAGAUCAGGUAGGACUACCGCCUGAACUUAAGCAUAUCAAUAAGGCGAGGAACAGAAACCAACAGGGAUUCCCCUAGUAGUGGCGAAUGAAGUGGGAAAAGCUCAAGUUUGAAAUCUGGUGGGCUCGUCCCCUCAGAGUUGUAAGCUGAAGAGGCAUUGACCGACGUUGUCUGGGCCCAAUUUCCUUGGAACAGGAAGUCAUGGAGGGUGAGAACCCCGUCUGUGGCUCGGAGCCUUCGUCCUUGUGUCGUGUCCUCGAAGAGUCGGGUUGUUUGGGAAUGCAGCUCAAAAUGGGUGGUAAAUUCCAUCUAAGGCUAAAUAUUGGCGAGAGACCGAUAGCAAACAAGUAGAGUGAUCGAAAGAUGAAAAGUACUUUGAAAAGAGAGUGAAACAGUACGUGAAAUUGUUGAAAGGGAAGCGUUUGGUAUCAGCCCAUGGCGUCCAUUGAUCAUCCAGGCUUCUGUCUGAUGCACUUGAUGGACGUCGGGUCAGCGUCGGCUUUGCCUGCCGGAGAAAGGUCUUGGGAAUGUGGCUCCCUUCGGGGAGC